AAGUUGGAAAAACGACAAACAAUUUCCUAUUUUUUCUUCUUUUAUUUUUUUUUCUUAUAGUUUCUUGCCUGCUUCAACUUUCCUUUCCAACAUCAAAUCUCGCUCAAAAAAAAUUUCCGAGAAAACAAAAGAAAAGAAACCCUUCCUUCCGUUGUUUUUUUUUUUUUUUUCUUUUUUCUUUUUUCUUGCCACCCCAACAUGAUACCCUCCGAACAUUAUUAGACCCAAACAAGACCUAACCACUUUUUCGGUCAUGGAUGCGCGUCGUGCUCCACGCGCCGUCAUUGACCCUAAGGUCCGUAGGGUCGGGUUCUUCGCUCCACCCGAACCCGACCCGAUCUCAUUCGAAGUCUCUCCCUCCGCCAACUCCCUCUCGCCGGUAAUGAUCCCUCCGCCGCGGCAUUCGUCGGAGAAUCUCGGCCUCCACACUCGUCCCGCCGCGACUUCCCCUUCCGCCCAAGAAUCCUUUGCAGCCGGGAGCUAUUCCAGCUCGUCGGACUUCUUCCCCGCUCCGAUGUCGCCGGCUACGUCGCCUUACUCGAGCAGGAUCGUCGGCGGCGAUGGAGACUUCUUCGCCGGCGGGAAGGCGGCGUCUUCGUUUCCUCGCGGCGGGUUUGACUUGACGGCGACGAUGGCGAGUAGCGUUCCAGCGAGCGAAUUAACCACGGUUUCGGUGGUGAAUGCUGCUUCCCUUUCGAUUGGCGAAAGAAAGAAAGCUGACAAAGGAGGAGGAUCAGCAGUGGAAGUGAAAGACCAAGUUCUGAAUACUAAACAGCAGAAGAAAGAGAAGACUUCAAAGGCUGAAAGACGAGCUCUUCAAGAAGCUCAACGAGCUGCUAAGGCUGCUGCAAAAGCUGAAGGAAACAAGGCAUCUGGAACUCUGGCUUCAGUAAAUGUAAAACCAGCUAAAGCUGCAAAGCCCCCACAGAAAGUUGAUAAUGCUUCGGUUGCAGCCUCUGAGAAGAAAGGGGGUGAUCGUCCACCAGAAAAAGAUAGAAAGAAAGAUGUUCCUCAACCACGUCUGCAAUAUGAUGAUAAGAGCAGAGUGGAGAAAGCCAAACGGCGUGCUGUGGUAAAACAAACUGAAGCUAAGAACAGAGUUGAACUGUUCAGACAUUUGCCCCAGUAUGAACAUGGGAGUCAACUCCCAGAUCUUGAGGCAAAGUUUUUCCAGCUGGGUCCUGUGCAUCCUGCUGUUUAUAAGGUUGGUUUGCAGUAUCUGUCUGGAGAUAUAUCUGGUGGCAAUGCUCGUUGUAUUGCUAUGCUUCAAGCAUUUCAAGAGGCCAUUGAAGACUACAGGGUUCCAUCCGAGAAGACUCUUGUGAGAGACUUAACAGCAAAAAUAAGUAGUUAUGUUUCUUUUCUCAUCGAGUGUCGACCACUUUCUAUCAGCAUGGGCAAUGCAAUUAGAUUUCUCAAAAGUCGAAUUGCCAAGCUACCUUUGACGCUGUCUGAGUCAGAAUCAAAAACCUCUCUUCAAUCAGAUAUUGAGCGUUUUAUAUAUGAGAAAAUUAUACUUGCCAACAAGGUGAUAGUCAAGCAUGCUGUUACAAAAAUAAGAGAUGGUGAUGUUCUUCUUACUUAUGGGUCUUCAUCGGCGGUUGAAAUGAUACUGUUACAUGCACACGGGUUAGGGAAACAGUUUCGAGUUGUAGUGGUAGACUCUCGUCCAAAACUUAGAGGGAAACUUUUGCUUCGUAGGCUAGUGGAGAAAGGUCUUAGCUGUACAUACAUUCAUAUAAAUGCUGUUUCCUACAUAAUGAAUGAAGUUACUCGAGUCUUUCUGGGUGCUUCAUCAGUGUUGUCUAAUGGAACAGUUUAUUCAGGAGUUGGUACUGCUUGUGUUGCAAUGGUUGCCCAUGCAUUCCAUGUCCCUGUUUUAGUAUGUUGUGAGGCUUAUAAAUUUCAUGAAAGGGUACAGCAUGAUUCCAUAUGCUCAAAUGAACUUGGUGAUCCAGAUGUCAUUUCUACGGUUCAGAGUAGAGAGGAUGUCAACCACUUGGAAGCUUGGGCCAAUACUGAAAAUCUGCAACUUCUAAACCUGAUUUCUCUAUAUUGAUGCCAGCUAUGAUGCUACACCUUCAGAUUACGUUUCCAUGAUAAUCACAGAUUAUGGCAUGGUCCCACCCACAAGUGUACCGGUAAUUGUAAGGGAAUAUAGCAGAGAACAGGUGUGGAUAUGAAUGCUUCAAAUGUGGAUCAUCUCAAUUUUGUGUGCAUGCAGCGAAUCCCUAUUUUAGCAAUAAUUUUUUUCAAAGUUUGGGAUGAUGCAUCUUUCUGUAUCAUUUUCUUGUCCUGGAAUAAUGUAACGGCCCUCUUGUUCUUUUCGAAAUUUUGAUCGCUUGUCUGGAUUCACCUGUCGCAGUGAAGAGUGUGGAUUGUCGCCUCUCCAGACAGAUUUUGGCCAUGCAUUCUCUGUAACAGUUUUUUUUUUCUUUUUCUUUUUUGUUCUAGUGGUCUUCAAAUUUUGGAUAGUUGUUCGGUCAGUUUUGGUGGUUAUUAUUCUAUACCCAGUUUUUUAUAUCUUUGAUUAUAAAAACCAUCACCAUCACCACGAGUUACUGGUGAAAUUGUCACUGAAUAAUUUUGUUUCAUGUGAAUGCUUUAAGUGGGAUACGUAGAAAA